GCUGGGCAUAGUGGCGCGUGCCUGUAAUCCCAGCUACUCAGGAGGCUGAGGCAGGAGAAUUGCCUGAACCCAGGAGGCAGAGGUUGCGGUGAGCCGAGAUCGCGCCAUUGCACUCCAGCCUGAGUAAACAAGAGUGAAACUCCGUCUCAAAAAAAAAAAAAAAAAGUAUUUUCUUUUUUUUUUUUUUGAGGCAGAGUCUUGCUCUGUUGCCCAGUCUGCAGUGGCUUGAUCUCGGCUCACUGCAACCUCCACCUCCUGGGUUCAAGCGAUUCUCUGCCUCAG
rnacentral:sRNA from 1 species